CGGACGUGUGGCCUAGUGGAUCAGGGCGAGGGGUUCCUAACCCCUAGAGCGCGGGUUCGAAUCCCGUCACGUCCGU
rnacentral:tRNA from 1 species